rnacentral:miRNA from 1 species
UUUUCAGUAUAAAUAUGUCCCCUGUAAUAGCUGGGACAUAGUUAUGCUCAAA